GUCUAUGGCCAUACCACCCUGAACAUGCCUGAUCUCGUCUGAUCUUGGAAGCUAAGCAGGGUCAGGCCUGGUUGGUACUUGUUUGGGAGAGAACAUUCUUUGGGGAAUAUGAGGAAUAGGUU
rnacentral:rRNA from 1 species